UCCCGUUUGUCACCGGCAGUCUCGCAUGAGUCCCCAGCAUUACCUGAUGGCAACAUGCGACGAGGGCUGCGCUCGUUGCGCCACUUAAGGCAACACCUCACGGCACGAGCUGACGACAGCCAUGCAGCACCUGUGCAGGCUCCCGAAGGAGCACCGGCUUUCACCGGUUUCACCCUGCAUGUCAAGCCCUGGUAAGGUUCUUCGCGUUGCGUCGAAUUAAGCCACAUGCUCCGCCGCUUGUGCGGGUCCCCGUCAAUUCCUUUGAGUUUUAGCCUUGCGACCGUACUCCCCAGGCGGGGCACUUAGUGCGUUAGCUACGGCACGGAACCCGUUGAUAAGGCCCCACACCUAGUGCCCAACGUUUACGGCGUGGACUAC
rnacentral:misc_RNA from 1 species